GAUGAACGCUGGCGGCGUGCCUAAUACAUGCAAGUCGAGCGAACGGACCAGAAGCUUGCUUCUCUGAUGUUAGCGGCGGACGGGUGAGUAACACGUUGAUAACCUACCUAUAAGACUGGGAUAACUUCGGGAAACCGGAGCUAAUACCGGAUGAUAUUUUGAACCGCAUGGUUCAAAAGUGAAAGACGGUCUUGCUGUCACUUAUAGAUGGAUCCGCGCUGCAUUAGCUAGUUGGUAAGGUAACGGCUUACCAAGGCAACGAUGCAUAGCCGACCUGAGAGGGUGGUCGGCCACACUGGAACUGAGACACGGUCCAGACUCCUACGGGAGGCAGCAGUAGGGAAUCGUCCGCAGUGGGCGAAAGCCUGACGGAGCAACGCCGCGUGAGUGAUGAAGGUCUUCGGAUCGUAAUACUCUGUUAUUAGGGAAGAACAUAUGUGUAAGUAACUGUGCACAUCUUGACGGUACCUAAUCAGAAAGCCACGGCUAACUACGUG
rnacentral:rRNA from 1 species